GACGAACGCUGGCGGCGUGCUUAACACAUGCAAGUCGAACGGAAAGGCCCCGUUGUUGGUACUCGCUUGGCUAACGGGUGGGUAACACGUGAGUAACCUGCCCUUUACUUCGUUUUAACUUCCUUAAACUGGGUCGAAUACCGGAUAGGAAUGCUUUCUUCAUGGUUGGUGGUGGUAGGCUUUUGCCGGUGGGUGUGGACGGGGGGCUGAUUCGCUUGUUGGUGGGGUAGUUGAUUAACAAGGCUUUGACGGGUAGCCGGCCUGCGAGGGCGAACGGCCCAAUUGGGAAUGAGAUAACGCCCCGAACCCUAAGGGAGGCAGGCGGGGGGAAUAUUGCAACAAGGGCGGAAGGCCGAUGCAGCCAAGCCGCGUGGGGGAUGACGGCCUUCGGGUUGUAAAACGCUUUUAGCCGGGGCGAAGCUUGUGGUGACGGUAACUGGAGAAGAAGCACCGGCUAACUACGUG
rnacentral:rRNA from 1 species